rnacentral:rRNA from 1 species
UACGUAGGUCCCGAGCGUUGUCCGGAUUUAUUGGGCGUAAAGCGAGCGCAGGUGGUUUAUUAAGUCUGGUGUAAAAGGCAGUGGCUCAACCAUUGUAUGCAUUGGAAACUGGUAGACUUGAGUGCAGGAGAGGAGAGUGGAAUUCCAUGUGUAGCGGUGAAAUGCGUAAAUAUAUGGAGGAACACCGGUGGCGAAAGCGGCUCUCUAGCCUGUAACUGACACUGAGGCUCGAAAGCGUGGGGAGCAAACAGG